UACGAAGGGUGCAAACGUUGCUCGGAAUCAUUGGGCGUAAAGAGCUCGUAGGCGGUGUGUCACGUCGGCCGUGAAAACCUGCAGCUUAACUGUGGGCGUGCGGGCGAUACGGGGCAGACUGGAGUACUGCAGGGGGAGACUGGAAUUCCUGGUGUAGCGGUGGAAUGCGCAGAUAUCAGGAGGAACACCGGUGGCGAAGGCGGCCUUCUGGACAGUGACUGACGCUGAGACGCGAAAGCGUGGGGAGCAAACAGG
rnacentral:rRNA from 1 species